rnacentral:rRNA from 1 species
AGCAGCCGCGGUAAUUCCAGCUCCAAUAGCGUAUAUUAAAGUUGUUGCAGUUAAAAAGCUCGUAGUUGAAUUUUGGAUUCUUCCAAUUGGUCCAUCUUUUAGAUGAGUACUGGUUGUGUGGGGUCUAUCCGCCUGGUGAUACGUAAUGUCCUUUAUUGGAUGUUGCGGGUAGUCAGGACCUUUACCUUGAAAAAUUAGAGUGUUUAAAGCAGGCUUAUGCCGGAAUACAUUAGCAUGGAGUAAUAGAAUAGGACGAAGUUGUUUUAUUUUGUUGGUUUCUAGGACAACCGUAAUGAUUAAUAGGGAUAGUUGGGGGCAUUAGUAUUCAAUUGUCAGAGGUGAAAUUCUUGGAUUUAUUGAAGACUAACUACUGCGAAAGCAUUUGCCAAGGAUGUUUUCAUUAAUCAAGAACGAAAGUUAGGGGAUCGAAGACGAUCAGAUACCGUCGUAGUCUUAACCAUAAACUAUGCCGACUAGGGAUCGGGCGAUGUUGUUUCCAUGACUCGCUCGGCACCUUAUG